UACAGAGGGGGCAAGCGUUGUUCGGAAUUACUGGGCGUAAAGGGCGCGUAGGCGGCCUUCUAAGUCGAACGUGAAAUCCCCGGGCUCAACCCGGGAACUGCGUCCGAUACUGGAAGGCUUGAAUCCGGGAGAGGGAUGUGGAAUUCCAGGUGUAGCAGUGAAAUGCGUAGAGAUGUGGAGGAACACCGAUGGCGAAGGCAGCCCCCUGGGUCAAGACUGACGCUCAUGCACGAAAGCGUGGGGAGCAAACAGG
rnacentral:rRNA from 1 species